rnacentral:lncRNA from 1 species
AUGGGAGUUGAUGGAGUUCGGAAACCUGGUUGAUACUAGAUUUUAUCUGGCCUGCAGUUAAUUGGUAGACUUACUACAAGAUAUGCAAAACGAACCAAGGAUGAGAGAGAAGAGGUAGCUGCAAGUCUUUGUUUGGAAAUACAGAAUUUGAAAGUUGGUGUCACCGAUCAAAUCAUACCAAGAGAUGGUGCCUUCUUUAUCUAGUAUGCUGAAAUAGAAUCAUUUCUUCGAAUGUCGCUCCAGAUUCUCAUGUUCUG